CGGAGGGAUCAUUACCGAGUUUACAACUCCCAAACCCCUGUGAACAUACCACUUGUUGCCUCGGCGGAUCAGCCCGCUCCCGGUAAAACGGGACGGCCCGCCAGAGGACCCCUAAACUCUGUUUCUAUAUGUAACUUCUGAGUAAAACCAUAAAUAAAUCAAAACUUUCAACAACGGAUCUCUUGGUUCUGGCAUCGAUGAAGAACGCAGCAAAAUGCGAUAAGUAAUGUGAAUUGCAGAAUUCAGUGAAUCAUCGAAUCUUUGAACGCACAUUGCGCCCGCCAGUAUUCUGGCGGGCAUGCCUGUUCGAGCGUCAUUUCAACCCUCAAGCACAGCUUGGUGUUGGGACUCGCGUUAAUUCGCGUUCCCCAAAUUGAUUGGCGGUCACGUCGAGCUUCCAUAGCGUAGUAGUAAAACCCUCGUUACUGGUAAUCGUCGCGGCCACGCCGUUAAACCCCAACUUCUGAAUGUUGACCUCGGAUCAGGUAGGAAUACCCGCUGAACUUAAGCAUAUCAAUAAGCGGAGGAAAAGAAACCAACAGGGAUUGCCCUAGUAACGGCGAGUGAAGCGGCAACAGCUCAAAUUUGAAAUCUGGCUCUCGGGCCCGAGUUGUAAUUUGUAGAGGAUACUUUUGAUGCGGUGCCUUCCGAGUUCCCUGGAACGGGACGCCAUAGAGGGUGAGAGCCCCGUCUGGUUGGAUGCCAAAUCUCUGU
rnacentral:rRNA from 1 species